rnacentral:rRNA from 1 species
UACGGGGGGAGCAAGCGUUGUUCGGAUUUACUGGGCGUAAAGGGCGCGUAGGCGGUCGUGACAAGUCACUUGUGAAAUCUCCGGGCUUAACUCGGAACGGUCAAGUGAUACUGUCGGACUAGAGUACAGAAGGGGCAACUGGAAUUCUCGGUGUAGCGGUGAAAUGCGUAGAUAUCGAGAGGAACACCUGCGGCGAAGGCGGGUUGCUGGGCAGUUGCUGACACUGGAGGCGCGACAGCGUGGGGAGCAAACAGG